rnacentral:lncRNA from 12 species
AGGAAAGUUAAGCCCAAGAUCCCGGUGCUCAGACAGUCGUUUCUGCCUCCAGAGCCGCCCGGAGGCCUCGAGGGGUGCUCCCGUCCUGCUGUCUCUGCACGUGCUGUUCCCUGUGAUUUAGGAGCCUCGCUCACACCGAACUCCUCCUUGGGCCCCAAAAACAUCUUGCGCAACAUUCAAGUCUCAGAGCUUUGCAAAUCCUUUCCCAUCUGUUUGGUGUGGACCUUCGAUUUAAUUCACCUCCUGAACCUCUAUUGCUGAAGUGCUUCCUUGCAGUCCGGCUGCGUGUCCUGGGAACAGAGACCCAGAUCGCACGGCUCCGGAGUAGGCUCCACACCCCACGUGGGCCUUCACCCCAAGGCCCUGAGAUGGAGGGUUGCAUCGUCUCCUGGCUGAGCUGGCUCGGCACCCCUUUCUGACAGGUUUGUAAGGAUGAUUCUUAGUUUAGGGAAGCUUGGGGAAACACAUCCUGAGCCCCCCGAGCCACAGGCAUUGCAUCCAGG